AUGAACGCUGGCGGCGUGCCUAAUACAUGCAAGUCGAGCGAACAGACGAGGAGCUUGCUCCUCUGACGUUAGCGGCGGACGGGUGAGUAACACGUGGAUAACCUACCUAUAAGACUGGGAUAACUUCGGGAAACCGGAGCUAAUACCGGAUAAUAUAUUGAACCGCAUGGUUCAAUAGUGAAAGACGGAUUUGCUGUCACUUAUAGAUGGAUCCGCGCCGCAUUAGCUAGUUGGUAAGGUAACGGCUUACCAAGGCGACGAUGCGUAGCCGACCUGAGAGGGUGAUCGGCCACACUGGAACUGAGACACGGUCCACACUCCUACGGGAGGCAGCAGUAGGGAAUCUUCCGCAAUGGGCGAGAGCCUGACGGAGCAACGCCGCGUGAGUGAUGAUGGUCUUCGGAUCGUAAAACUCUGUUAUUAGGGAAGAACAAAUGUGUAAGUAACUAUGCACGUCUUGACGGUACCUAAUCAGAAAGCCACGGCUAACUACGUG
rnacentral:rRNA from 1 species